CCCGAUUCGACCGCAGCGAGAAAGCGUUGCCGCAGGCAACGACCCGAAGGGCGAAGCGCGCAGCGCUGAGUCAUCCUUCCCCCACCACCA
rnacentral:sRNA from 1 species